GCUCAUGAUAAACGCUGGCGGCGUGCCUAAUACAUGCAAGUCGAGCGAACGGACGAGAAGCUUGCUUCUCUGAUGUUAGCGGCGGACGGGUGAGUAACACGUGGAUAACCUACCUAUAAGACUGGGAUAACUUCGGGAAACCGGAGCUAAUACCGGAUAAAUAUUUUGAACCGCAUGGUUCAAAAGUGAAAGACGGUCUUGCUGUCACUUAUAGAUGGAUCCGCGCUGCAUUAGCUAGUUGGUAAGGUAACGGCUUACCAAGGCAACGAUGCAUAGCCGACCUGAGAGGGUGAUCGGCCACACUGGAACUGAGACACGGUCCAGACUCCUACGGGAGGCAGCAGUAGGGAAUCUUCCGCAAUGGGCGAAAGCCUGACGGAGCAACGCCGCGUGAGUGAUGAAGGUCUUCGGAUCGUAAAACUCUGUUAUUAGGGAAGAACAUAUGUGUAAGUAACUGUGCACAUCUUGACGGUACCUAAUCAGAAAGCCACGGCUAACUACGUGCCAGCAGCCGCGGUAAUACGUAGGUGGCAAGCGUUAUCCGGAAUUAUUGGGCGUAAAGCGCGCGUAGGCGGUUCCUUUAAGUCUGAUGUGAAAGCCCACGGCUCAACCGUGGAGGGUCAUUGGAAACUGGAAAACUUGAGUGCAGAAGAGGAAAGUGGAAUUCCAUGUGUAGCGGUGAAAUGCGCAGAGAUAUGGAGGAACACCAGUGGCGAAGGCGACUUUCUGGUCUGUAACUGACGCUGAUGUGCGAAAGCGUGGGGAUCAAACAGGAUUAGAUACCCUGGUAGUCCACGCCGUAAACGAUGAGUGCUAAGUGUUAGGGGGUUUCCGCCCCUUAGUGCUGCAGCUAACGCAUUAAGCACUCCGCCUGGGGAGUACGACCGCAAGGUUGAAACUCAAAGGAAUUGACGGGGACCCGCACAAGCGGUGGAGCAUGUGGUUUAAUUCGAAGCAACGCGAAGAACCUUACCAAAUCUUGACAUCCUUUGACAACUCUAGAGAUAGAGCCUUCCCCUUCGGGGGACAAAGUGACAGGUGGUGCAUGGUUGUCGUCAGCUCGUGUCGUGAGAUGUUGGGUUAAGUCCCGCAACGAGCGCAACCCUUAAGCUUAGUUGCCAUCAUUAAGUUGGGCACUCUAAGUUGACUGCCGGACAAACCGGAGGAAGGUGGGGAUGACGUCAAAUCAUCAUGCCCGUUAUGAUUUGGGCUACACACGUGCUACAAUGGACAAUACAAAGGGCAGCGAAACCGCGAGGUCAAGCAAAUCCCAUAAAGUUGUUCUCAGUUCGGAUUGUAGUCUGCAACUCGACUACAUGAAGCUGGAAUCGCUAGUAAUCGUAGAU
rnacentral:rRNA from 1 species